GUCAGUCAAAUAAUAUUAUCCAUAGUUGUAAAAAUCACAUUGGCAAAAUAAUACUGCUCAUAGAAGAACAAUAUUGUUUAUUUAUUUGUUUGGAAGAAACGCAGAUAUGUGCUCAAAAUGUGUGGAUUAACGAAUCUGAUACUUGUUUUAAUUCUAUCAAUUCUACCAACAUUAAAAGGGACAGAUAACUUUUGUGUAGGAAGAACUGGCGAGUUUUAUCCGUAUAUAGCGGACUGUACAAAAUUCUAUCAAUGCUCCUCCGACCAGACUUAUAUUAAGGACUGUGCAGGCGGAUCUUAUUGGAAUCAACCUUUGAAGAGAUGUGAGACAACAUGUGACCAAUAUCAUCCAGAAUUAGAUGAACCAACCACUGUUGAACAGGCGACACCUGGAGACGAAGCAACAACUGUGUCAAUACCCGGAGGUUGUGCCCCGGUUAGAAAUUUAAGGUUUGACACAGGCCUUACUUUAGAUUGUCCAGUCCUAGAAGAACUAACAACAAGUUCCAGAUUAGAAUGCCUUUAUCACUGUGUGCGUCAUACAGGAUGUACAUGUUUAAACUUUAUGAAUAAUCAACUGACUAUGAACUGUGCUUUAUUACAAUGCAGUGGUAACCCCGGUGCACUUGUCAACCCGAACGCUUUGUGUAUUUGCUUGUAAAAUUCCUUAAAGGGACAAUAACACAAUAACCAUAAAUAAAAGCUAAUUUGUUAAUAAAUGGCUUAAUCUACGCUCAAUUAAACUCAAAUUGAUUAUUCAACAUUUAACAAGGAAAUCAAAAUAUCAACGCUAGAUAAUAGCCUGGUUUGCAUUCAAUCAGACUGAAAAUCGGCUAGUGAGAACACCUAAUGUUUGAAAAUGUUUAAAUCCCCCAAACGACGAUCAACGGCUUUCAUCUACUUGGUCACAGAUUUUAUAA